GACGAACGCUGGCGGCGUGCUUAAUACAUGCAAGUCAACUUGACUUUAGAUAGCAAUAUCGAAAAGUAGGGUGGCGCACGGGUGCGUAACGCGUAGGUAAUCUGCCCUGAGGUCUGACAUAACCCGUCGAAAGGCGGGCUAACAUCAGAUGAUAUAUAAUCACGACAUCGUGGAAAUAUCAAAUCUUCGGAGCCUUGGGAUGAGCCUGCGUCUGAUUUAGGUAGUUGGCGGAGUAAUAGCCCACCAAGCCUACGAUCAGUAGCUGGUCUGAGAGGAUGAUCAGCCACACUGGAACUGAGACACGGUCCAGACUCCUACGGGAGCAGCAGUAAGGAAUAUUGCUCAAUGGGGGAAACCCUGAAGCAGCAACGCCGCGUGAAGGAUGAAAUACUUUGAUGUAAACUUCUGUAAGAUGGGAAAAAUAUUCUCCUCGGGAGAAUUGAUUGUACCAUCAGAGUAAGCCCCGGCUAACUACGUGCCAGCAG
rnacentral:rRNA from 1 species